rnacentral:rRNA from 1 species
GACGAACGCUGGCGGCGUGCUUAACACAUGCAAGUCGAACGGAAAGGCCCUGCUUUUGUGGGGUGCUCGAGUGGCGAACGGGUGAGUAACACGUGAGUAACCUGCCCUUGACUUUGGGAUAACUUCAGGAAACUGGGGCUAAUACCGGAUAGGAGCUCCUGCUGCAUGGUGGGGGUUGGAAAGUUUCGGCGGUUGGGGAUGGACUCGCGGCUUAUCAGCUUGUUGGUGGGGUAGUGGCUUACCAAGGCUUUGACGGGUAGCCGGCCUGAGGGGGUGACCGGCAUAAUUGGGACAGAGAUCGGGCCCAGCCCCCGAGGGGAGGCAGAGGGGGGGAAUAUUGCAAAGGGGGAGGACGCCUAGGGCAGCAACGCCGGGGGGGGGAUGGCGGCUUUGGGUUUAUAAACCGUUUGCGCCUGUAAAGAGGGGUGGGUGAGGGAAAGGGAAAAAGAAGCCCCGGAAAACUACGUC